rnacentral:misc_RNA from 1 species
CUGAUUCAUAAAUGCCCGUCUAUUUGCCCGGCUUUUCAUUUUUAGACUGCAUGUUGCGGCAAUAAAUAACAUAACUGUUGACAAAAGCUAUAUUCAGCAUGCCAUAGAAUAAUGCCAUAGGCCACCUAUUUGUUUUUCUACUGCAUGACAUCUGCGUACACAUUUGAUCGAACGAAUCAAUACCCCCCUUCGUUUGAAUAUAGGAUUCAAUCAUAUCUGGUUUUCCGGAGCUAGAUUUGACGACACCGACUUCGUCACAGGAUGACAAUAGAUAUACCAUCUUCGACGGUUUAGGUUUAUAUGACAGUAACGUUAAUGGACCAUCAUAACAAAACAUAGAGGUUCCAAUGGCCCUCUGCUUUGAGUUUUUUAGUUCUUCCGGUAUUUCCCUUUUGUUUGAGCGUAUUGUACCAAUUAUCGUCAGUAUGAAAGGUUCUCUGAGUAAAGAUUUAGCAAUAGGUACGGACGUGAACCAGUUAUCGCAGGUUAUAUUUCUACAUGAUCCAUGGAUAAUCUUCAAUAACUCUUUCAUGAAAUAUUCCCCAAGGGGAAGUCCAUUUGUUUCUAUUCCUUUACCUAUAUAGGGAAUGAAUGGCGUCAAACAUAUAUUUUGUGAAACUGUCACAGAUCCUAGGUAUUUUCAGGCCAUAGCAGCCAGGCCAGGAAUACACAAUGUAAUAAUGACAAACUACAACCGAGUACACAUUCAAACUACAAAAUACUAUAGAAAGGCAAUGAAUCCACAAUC